CGGCGUGCUUAACACAUGCAAGUCGAACGGAAAGGCCCUGCUUUUGUGGGGUGCUCGAGUGGCGAACGGGUGAGUAACACGUGAGUAACCUGCCCUUGACUUUGGGAUAACUUCAGGAAACUGGGGCUAAUACCGGAUAGGAGCUCCUGCUGCAUGGUGGGGGUUGGAAAGUUUCGGCGGUUGGGGAUGGACUCGCGGCUUAUCAGCUUGUUGGUGGGGUAGUGGCUUACCAAGGCUUUGACGGGUAGCCGGCCUGAGAGGGUGACCGGCCACAUUGGGACUGAGAUACGGCCCAGACUCCUACGGGAGGCAGCAGUGGGGAAUAUUGCACAAUGGGCGGAAGCCUGAUGCAGCAACGCCGCGUGCGGGAUGACGGCCUUCGGGUUGUAAACCGCUUUCGCCUGUGACGAAGCGUGAGUGACGGUAAUGGGUAAAGAAGCACCGGCUAACUACGUGCCAGCAGCCGCGGUGAUACGUAGGGUGCGAGCGUUGUCCGGAUUUAUUGGGCGUAAAGGGCUCGUAGGUGGUUGAUCGCGUCGGAAGUGUAAUCUUGGGGCUUAACCCUGAGCGUGCUUUCGAUACGGGUUGACUUGAGGAAGGUAGGGGAGAAUGGAAUUCCUGGUGGAGCGGUGGAAUGCGCAGAUAUCAGAAGGAACACCAGUGGCGAAGGCGGUUCUCUGGGCCCUUUCCUGGACGCUGAGGAGCGAAAGCGUGGGGGAGCGAACAGGCUUAGAUACCCUGGUAGUCCCCGCUGUUAAACGGUGGGUACUAGGUGUGGGGUGCAUUCCACGGGGUUCCGUGCGGUAGGUAACGCUUUAAGUACCCCGCCUGGGGGGUACGGCCGCAAGGCUAAAACUCAAAGGAAUGGACGGGGCCCCGCACAAGCGGCGGAGCAUGCGGAUUAAUUAGAUGCAACGCGUAGAACCUUACCUGGGUUUGACAUGGAUCGGGAGUGCUCAGAGAUGGGUGUGCCUCUUUUGGGGUCGGUUCACAGGUGGUGCAUGGCUGUCGUCAGCUCGUGUCGUGAGAUGUUGGGUUAAGUCCCGCAACGAGCGCAACCCUUGUUCACUGUUGCCAGCACGUUAUGGUGGGGACUCAGUGGAGACCGCCGGGGUCAACUCGGAGGAAGGUGGGGAUGACGUCAAGUCAUCAUGCCCCUUAUGUCCAGGGCUUCACGCAUGCUACAAUGGCUGGUACAGAGAGUGGCGAGCCUGUGAGGGUGAGCGAAUCUCGGAAAGCCGGUCUCAGUUCGGAUUGGGGUGUGCAACUCGACCUCAUGAAGUCGGAGUCGCUAGUAAUCGCAGAUCAGCAACGCUGCGGUGAAUACGUUCCCGGGGCUUGUACACACCGCCCGUCAAGUCAUGAAAGUUGGUAACACCCGAAGCCGGUGGCCUAACCGUUGUGGGGGAGCCGUCGAAGGUGGGACUGGUGAUUAGGACUAAGU
rnacentral:rRNA from 1 species